rnacentral:rRNA from 1 species
AGAGUUUGAUCCUGGCUCAGGAUGAACGCUGACAGAAUGCUUAACACAUGCAAGUCUACUUGAACUUCGGUUUGGGUGGCGGACGGGGGAGUAACGCGUAAAGAACUUGCCUCACAGUUAGGGACAACAUUUGGAAACGAAUGCUAAUACCUGAUAUUAUGAUUUUAGGGCAUCCUAAGAUUAUGAAAGCUAUAUGCGCUGUGAGAGAGCUUUGCGUCCCAUUAGCUAGUUGGAGAGGUAACGGCUCACCAAGGCGAUGAUGGGUAGCCGGCCUGAGAGGGUGAACGGCCACAAGGGGACUGAGACACGGCCCUUACUCCUACGGGAGGCAGCAGUGGGGAAUAUUGGACAAUGGACCAAAAGUCUGAUCCAGCAAUUCUGUGUGCACGAUGACGUUUUUCGGAAUGUAAAGUGCUUUCAGUUGGGAAGAAAAAAAUGACGGUACCAACAGAAGAAGUGACGGCUAAAUACGUGCCAGCAGCCGCGGUAAUACGUAUGUCACAAGCGUUAUCCGGAUUUAUUGGGCGUAAAGCGCGUCUAGGUGGUUAUGUAAGUCUGAUGUGAAAAUGCAGGGCUCAACUCUGUAUUGCGUUGGAAACUGCAUGACUAGAGUACUGGAGAGGUAAGCGGAACUACAAGUGUAGAGGUGAAAUUCGUAGAUAUUUGUAGGAAUGCCGAUGGGGAAGCCAGCUUACUGGACAGAUACUGACGCUAAAGCGCGAAAGCGUGGGUAGCAAACAGGAUUAGAUACCCUGGUAGUCCACGCCGUAAACG